rnacentral:tRNA from 6 species
CGGGGUAUAGCUCAGCCUGGUAGAGCGCCAGCUUUGGGAGCUGGAUGUCGAGAGUUCGAAUCCCUCUGCCCCGACCA